UACGUAGGGGGCAAGCGUUAUCCGGAUUUACUGGGUGUAAAGGGGGCGCAGACGGCGAUGCAAGCCAGGAGUGAAAGCCCGGGGCCCAACCCCGGGACUGCUCUUGGAACUGCGUGGCUGGAGUGCAGGAGGGGCAGGCGGAAUUCCUGGUGUAGCGGUGAAAUGCGUAGAUAUCAGGAGGAACACCGGUGGCGAAGGCGGCCUGCUGGACCGCAACUGACGUUGAGGCCCGAAAGCGUGGGGAGCAAACAGG
rnacentral:rRNA from 1 species